UUCUGUUCCUUUCUGUCGCAGCGUUGAGGGAAUGGGAGAUGUUUUCGACAAAAUGACAUUCACCAGGAGGCAGGAGAUGACCAGGGUUCUGGUGGAGCACCUGAAGCAAUUUGCCGUCCCAUACAACAGUCCAGGUAGGCCUUCCAGGGCGUGCUUUCCCGGCACCUCUCUGUUGCCGGGUGGCAUGCGUUGCUGGUUUUGUUUAAGCUGACAGGUCAGGGUUUUUGUGUGUCGGCUUCAUAGCAGCGCACCGACGCAGGCUGAUCUUCUUCCACCCCUAUUUUUAAAAACAGUUUGCAGAAAGGACAUCGGAAACGAUGCUGAGUGGCUUGACAUCAACUUGGGUCUAUUCUCCACGGUGGCCAAUUACUCAGACCUCAAGGAGCUGAACAUCAGUGGGGUAAAUCACCUAUUUUUAUUAUGUUUCUCUUCUCACACAGCUUUAAGGGAGUUCUUGGCUGGUAGUGAUUUUUGGUUGUUUAUUUGUUUUCUUUUGUUUUCCUUUUUUUCUUCAUGUCUUUGGGAAGAGAGCAAAUCACCAACCGUCAUGCGUUAUUUACUUUGUGUCUGGGUUUUGUUCACCUUAGCUGGCAGCUUUGGAAUCCCUGUCACCUGACCAGAAAGCAGAGCUGCUGUUGGAUCCGUCCACCGGUGCUCUUGAAAAUGUGACCGUGGUGAAGGAGGUGUUGAGCAGCAUCCUAAAAGCCCCAGAUGAGGAGCAGCUAGAGAAAUUCUUUGAAACGUUUGUGGAGGUCAGCAAGGAGGUGAGUCUUUUUACAAUUUAUUCUUGUUUGUUUUGUUUUUUUCUCAGUGCAAUUUAUCUAUAAUUGCUUAGACCAAGAAUGUGCUGCUUGUGGGCAAGGAGGCCGUGCUAGAAGGUCCUGUCGUGGUGCUAAAUGUAUCUCUUCCCCCACCCUCCCCUCUCAGGAAAACAUCACCUACAUCACAAACGCGGAAGUCCGGGACGCAAUACUGAACCUGACUUUGACGGCUCUGGCUCCCAAAUUCCCUCUCUUCCAAACCAGUGACUAUGAGCUGUGGUUCCAAAUUAAUCUCGUGGUCCUGCUGGCCAGCUUCAGUCCUUCAGUUUUGGUGGUGAUCCCCGCCAACCUCACCUGCGACUCUUACGACGCAAUAUUGAAAGGCAUGGAGAGCGCUUUGGCGGUUCUCCCAACUGGAGUUGGAGUGGAGCUGAAGUCAAGCAUAGACAAACUUCGACAGUCACCACCAGAAGGUAUGGCCUGA
ensembl:lncRNA